rnacentral:rRNA from 1 species
GAUAAUCCACGCAUACUCAACCUUCUCUAGACUCCCAGCAUGUGUACUGCCGUUGUAAGCAUACCUCUAAAAGAACAAGUGUGCCACUAUGACUAACAACUCAUAUACAUCAGGUCAAAGUGCAGCCAAUGAAAAGGUGAUGAUGGGUUACAACCCAAAAAUAGAUAAUCAACCAAGAAAUAAAAAAUCUUAAGAAAGUGGACUUGGUUGUAAUCAAUUUACAAGUUAAAAAAAUGAAUAUAAAUCUAAGACAUGCACACAUCGCCCGUCACUCUAUCCUAAAGGAUAGAUAAGUCGUAACAAAGUAGGUGUAAUGGAAAUUGCGCCUGUCGAAGUAUAGCAUAUAAAAUGCCCUCUACUUACACUAGAAAUAAAGUUAAAAGACUUACUCCGCCCACGUAAAUAUCUCUUAUAAAUCAUAAAUUAUAGAAACAACUAAACAAUCCAACUAGUAAAUAAAAGUACAUAAAUGGAAAUAACAAUAAAUAAUAGUAAAUUUUAAUAACUGUACCUUGUGCAUUAUGGUUUUACAAGAAAACAAUUAAAAAUAAAAAUCCCGAAUUCUUUAUGAGAUGUUAAACUGCCGUUAAGAACCCACUAAUAUCUGUAGAAAAAGAUUUAAAAGACAGUUUGACAGAGGCUACAUACCAUCCGCACAAGAAUAUAGCUGGUUUUCAACAAACAUUAUAUAUUAAAACAUGUAAUUAUAUUAUAGUGUAAUAUUAUUGAGGAUAAGCCCAAUAAUACAAGCAAUAUUAUUCUCACAUAUCUCACUUUACAUAUAGGCCUAAAACCAGCCAACCAAAAUACUUUACCGUACAAGCUACCGAUAUAAUACAUAACACCCCACAUGCUAAAUAAAGUUGAAAUAGUGGAUAAAUAACUUACUCCACCCAUACUAUGUAAAAAUAAGUAUUAUAAUACUAUAAAUA